rnacentral:rRNA from 1 species
UUGUAGCUUGCUAUGGUAUAACUUAGUGGCAGACGGGUGAGUAAUGUAUAGGAAUCUACCUAGUAGUACGGAAUAAUUGUUGGAAACGGCAACUAAUACCGUAUACACCCUACGGGGGAAAGAUUUAUUGCUAUUAGAUGAGCCUAUAUUAGAUUAGCUAGUUGGUAAGGUAAUGGCUUACCAAGGCAAUGAUCUAUAGCUGAUCUGAGAGGAUGAUCAGCCACACUGGAACUGAGAUACGGUCCAGACUCCUACGGGAGGCAGCAGUGGGGAAUAUUGGACAAUGGGCGAAAGCCUGAUCCAGCCAUGCCGCAUGAGUGAAGAAGGCCUUUGGGUUGUAAAGCUCUUUCGGUGAGGAAGAUAAUGACGGUACUCACAGAAGAAGUCCUGGCUAACUCCGUGCCAGCAGCCGCGGUAAUACGGAGAGGGCUAGCGUUAUUCGGAAUUAUUGGGCGUAAAGAGCGCGUAGGCUGGUUAGUAAGUUAAAAGUGAAAUCCCAAAGCUCAACUUUGGAAUUGCUUUUAAAACUGCUAACCUAGAGAUUGAAAGAGGAUAGAGGAAUUCCUAGUGUAGAGGUGAAAUUCGUAAAUAUUAGGAGGAACACCAGUGGCGAAGGCGUCUAUCUGGUUCAAAUCUGACGCUGAGGCGCGAAGGCGUGGGGAGCAAACAGGAUUAGAUACCCUGGUAGUCCACGCUGUAAACGAUGAAUGUUAAAUAUGGGAAGUUUACUUUCUGUAUUACAGCUAACGCGUUAAACAUUCCGCCUGGGGACUACGGUCGCAAGAUUAAAACUCAAAGGAAUUGACGGGGACCCGCACAAGCGGUGGAGCAUGUGGUUUAAUUCGAUGCAACGCGAAAAACCUUACCACUCCUUGACAUGGAAAUCAUACCUAUUC